UUUAAAAGACCUAGCAAUAGGUAUGCUUAGGGAGGAGCUUGCGUCACAUUAGUUAGUUGGUGGGGUAAAGGCCUACCAAGACUAUGAUGUGUAGCCGGGCUGAGAGGUUGAACGGCCACAUUGGGACUGAGACACGGCCCAAACUCCUACGGGAGGCAGCAGUAGGGAAUUUUCGGCAAUGGAGGAAACUCUGACCGAGCAACGCCGCGUGAACGAUGAAGUAUUUCGGUACGUAAAGUUCUUUUAUUAGGGAAGAAUAAAUGAUGGAAAAAUCAUUCUGACGGUACCUAAUGAAUAAGCCCCGGCUAACUAUGUGCCAGCAGCCGCGGUAAUACAUAGGGGGCAAGCGUUAUCCGGAAUUAUUGGGCGUAAAGGGUGCGUAGGCGGUUAAAUAAGUUUAUGGUCUAAGUGCAAUGCUCAACAUUGUGAUGCUAUAAAAACUGUUUAGCUAGAGUAAGAUAGAGGCAAGUGGAAUUCCAUGUGUAGUGGUAAAAUGCGUAAAUAUAUGGAGGAACACCAGUAGCGAAGGCGGCUUGCUGGGUCUUUACUGACGCUGAGGCACGAAAGCGUGGGGAGCAAACAGGAUUAGAUACCCUGGUAGUCCACGCCGUAAACGAUGAGUACUAAACGUUGGGUAAAACCAGUGUUGAAGUUAACACAUUAAGUACUCCGCCUGAGUAGUACGUACGCAAGUAUGAAACUUAAAGGAAUUGACGGGACUCCGCACAAGCGGUGGAUCAUGUUGUUUAAUUCGAAGGUACCCGAAAAACCUCACCAGGUCUUGACAUGCUUCUGCAAAGCUGUAGAAACACAGUGGAGGUUAUCAGUUGCACAGGUGGUGCAUGGUUGUCGUCAGCUCGUGUCGUGAGAUGUUGGGUUAAGUCCCGCAACGAGCGCAACCCUUAUUGUUAGUUACCAGCACGUAAUGGUGGGGACUUUAGCAAGACUGCCAGUGAUAAAUUGGAGGAAGGUGGGGACGACGUCAAAUCAUCAUGCCCCUUAUGACCUGGGCUACAAACGUGAUACAAUGGCUGUUACAAAGGGUAGCUGAAGCGCAAGUUUUUGGCGAAUCUCAAAAAAACAGUCUCAGUUCGG
rnacentral:rRNA from 1 species